rnacentral:rRNA from 1 species
UGGGGAAUUUUGGACAAUGGGCGAAAGCCUGAUCCAGCAAUGCCGCGUGUGUGAAGAAGGCCUUCGGGUUGUAAAGCACUUUUGUCCGGAAAGAAAUGGCUCUGGUUAAUACCUGGGGUCGAUGACGGUACCGGAAGAAUAAGGACCGGCUAACUACGUGCCAGCAGCCGCGGUAAUACGUAGGGUCCAAGCGUUAAUCGGAAUUACUGGGCGUAAAGCGUGCGCAGGCGGUUGUGCAAGACCGAUGUGAAAUCCCCGAGCUUAACUUGGGAAUUGCAUUGGUGACUGCACGGCUAGAGUGUGUCAGAGGGGGGUAGAAUUCCACGUGUAGCAGUGAAAUGCGUAGAGAUGUGGAGGAAUACCGAUGGCGAAGGCAGCCCCCUGGGAUAACACUGACGCUCAUGCACGAAAGCGUGGGGAGCAAACAGGAUUAGAUACCCUGGUAGUCCACGCCCUAAACGAUGUCAACUAGUUGUUGGGGAUUCAUUUCCUUAGUAACGUAGCUAACGCGUGAAGUUGACCGCCUGGGGAGUACGGUCGCAAGAUUAAAAGCUCAAAUG